rnacentral:rRNA from 1 species
UGGGGAAUUGUUCACAAUGGGCGCAAGCCUGAUGACGCAACGCCGCGUGGGGGAUGAAGGUCUUCGGAUCGUAAACCCCUGUCGAAUGGGACGAAUAGCUCGCGAAUUAAUACCUCGCGGGAAUGACGGUACCGUUAAAGGAAGCCACGGCUAACUCUGUGCCAGCAGCCGCGGUAAUACAGAGGUGGCAAGCGUUGUUCGGAAUUACUGGGCGUAAAGGGCGCGUAGGCGGCCUUCUAAGUCAGACGUGAAAUCCCCCGGCUUAACCUGGGAACUGCGUCUGAUACUGGGAGGCUAGAGUUUGGGAGAGGGAUGUAGAAUUCCAGGUGUAGCGGUGAAAUGCGUAGAUAUCUGGAGGAAUACCGGUGGCGAAGGCGGCAUCCUGGACCAAUACUGACGCUGAGGCGCGAAAGCUAGGGGAGCAAACGGGAUUAGAUACCCCGGUAGUCC